AGUUCAAGAGAACGUGAAAUCGUUGAAGUGGAACCGGAGAGAGUUGACGUAGUAUGGUGGAUAAGUAUUGCAAGAAUCGCUUCAAACAAUGAAUGUGAUCGAGUAAUAUGUACGUCACCAAAGACUGCGCUGACAGCAUCGACUACACGCUCUGAACUGUGUUGACAUGUUGCCUAYUCUAGUAUAUAGAAUGGUGUCUUGUGUUACGUGGUGAAGUUUGUUGUUAUGUUGUUGAUGUUGAUAAGUAUGAUUAUACACCRAGUAUAAUUAUGUCAGUGUAAAAGUCAACCACCUCUCCGACCCGUCUUGAAACACGGACCGAGGAGUGUAACUUGUACGCGAGUCAUUGGGUGGAAAAACCUUAAGGCGAAACGAAAGUGAAGGCACGGUUAACCGGCUGACAUGGGAAACGUGCGGUAUUGUUAGCGAGACGUUACACCAUGGCCCUGUCUUGUCUGCAUGCAGAUGGGCAGCGGUAGAGCGUACAGGUUGCGACCCGAAAGAUGGUGAACUAUGCCUGAGCAGGACGAAGUCAGAGGAAACUCUGGUGGAAGUCCGUAUCGGUUCUGACGUGCAAAUCGAUCGAUAGACUUGGGUA
rnacentral:rRNA from 1 species